CCCUUAGAUGUUCUGGGCCGCACGCGCGCUACACUGACGAAUGCAACGAGCUUAUAACCUUGGCCGAAAGGUCUGGGUAAUCUCCAAAUUUCGUCGUGAUGGGGAUAGAUUAUUGCAAUUAUUAAUCUUCAACGAGGAAUGCCUAGUAAGCGCAAGUCAUCAGCUUGCGUUGAUUACGUCCCUGCCCUUUGUACACACCGCCCGUCGCUCCUACCGACUGAAUGGUCCGGUGAAGCGCUCGGACCGCGGCCUCUUGACGGUUUUCCGUCGAUUGGCUGUGGGAAGUUCGUUAAACCUUAUCAUUUAGAGGAAGGAGAGNUCGUANCA
rnacentral:rRNA from 1 species